rnacentral:piRNA from 1 species
ACCUCAGUUAGGUGAUGACGAAGU